rnacentral:rRNA from 1 species
GACGAACGCUGGCGGCGUGCCUAAUACAUGCAAGUAGAGCGCACAGUUUAUACCGUAGCUUGCUACACCAUAGACUGUGAGUUGCGAACGGGUGAGUAACGCGUAGGUAACCUGCCUGGUAGCGGGGGAUAACUAUUGGAAACGAUAGCUAAUACCGCAUAAUAUUGAUUAUUGCAUGAUAAUUAAUUGAAAGGUGCAAUUGCACCACUACCAGAUGGACCUGCGUUGUAUUAGCUAGUAGGUGAGGUAACGGCUCACCUAGGCGACGAUACAUAGCCGACCUGAGAGGGUGAUCGGCCACACUGGGACUGAGACACGGCCCAGACUCCUACGCGAGGCAGCAGUAGGGAAUCUUCGGCAAUAGACGAAAGUCUGACCGAGCAACGCCGCGUGAGUGAAGAAGGUUUUCGGAUCGUAAAGCUCUGUUGUAAGAGAAGAACGGGUGUGAGAGUGGAAAGUUCACACUGUGACGGUAUCUUACCAGAAAGGGACGGCUAACUACGUG